rnacentral:rRNA from 1 species
GAUGAGCGCUGGCGGCGUGCCUAAUACAUGCAAGUCGAGCGAACAGACGAGGAGCUUGCUCCUCUGACGGUAGCGGCGGACGGGGGAGUAAAACAUGGAUAACCUACCUAUAAGACUGGGAUAAAUUCGGGAAACCGGAGCUAAUACCGGAUAAUAUAUUGAACCGCAUGGUUCAAUAGUGAAAGACGGUUUUGCUGUCACUUAUAGAUGUAUCCGCGCCGCAUUAGCUAGUUGGUAAGGUAACGGCUUACCAAGGCGACGAUGCGUAGCCGACCUGAGAGGGUGAUCGGCCACACUGGAACUGAGACACGGUCCAGACUCCUACGGGAGGCAGCAGUAGGGAAUCUUCCGCAAUGGGCGAAAGCCUGACGGAGCAACGCCGCGUGAGUGAUGAAGGUCUUCGGAUCGUAAAACUCUGUUAUUAGGGAAGAACAAAUGUGUAAGUAACUAUGCACGUCUUGACGGUACCUAAUCAGAAAGCCACGGCUAACUACGUG